GGAAAAGGGGGGGGCUCGGGGGCGCCGGUACCACCCCGGAGGAUGGGGGUCUUCCCCACCAGGAGAAGAAGGCUGCGCACCUAAGAGAGGAGGGGGACGGGUACGGAUCCUCCUGGUCAUCUGAUCCAGGUCAAGAAGGACUUUGCGUUGCCCACAGCCCGUGGAACCCACCAGAGCAUCAUCUCCCCAGGGCCUGCUGCCGCCCCCCAGGAGGGAGGCUCUUUCAAUCCCUGGAGGAUUGAGAGGUAAAAUAUCUCCAGCUCGCGUUUCUCCUUCUGUUCGCUUUUCCAGCAGGGGUUAAUGAAACCGUUGAGAUUCGUAGAGCUUUA